GUGCCAGCAGCCGCGGUAAUACGUAGGCAGCAAGCGUUGUUCGGAGUUACUGGGCGUAAAGGGUGCGUAGGCGGCUUUUUAAGUUUGGUGUGAAAUCUCCUGGCUUAACCGGGAGGGUGCGCCGAAUACUGAGAAGCUAGAGUACGGGAGAGGAAAGUGGAAUUCCUGGUGUAGCGGUGAAAUGCGUAGAUAUCAGGAGGAACACCUGUGGUGUAGACGGCUUUCUGGACCGUAACUGACGCUGAGGCACGAAAGCGUGGGUAGCAAACAGGAUUAGAAACCCUGGUAGUCC
rnacentral:rRNA from 1 species